AUGUCAUACAGAGAGUUUCUACAGUGUGUUUGUGUUCUGACAGCACUUCUAGGAGGAUGGAGCUCUUUCUCUCUGAGAGCUUUAUGCUCCAGACUGCAGGAGCUGACUGAUAAAUUGGCUGUAAUGCUGGAAGGACACUCCUGCCUGUUUGAGUCUCAUAGUCCUUCAGAUGUGAACACAGAUCCAGCAGGAAAUCACAUGAUGAGCGUGACGGUUAGUACAGUUUUCACUGAAAGGGAAAGAUGUGUAGCUGCACACAGAUGUGAACAGUUUGGUGUAAUUUUCUCCAGUGGUUUUAAACUCUGAUGCUGAAACAAUCAGAUUCACCAGAAAUUUGACAGACAUGUUCUUCUUAUUGCCAUCAAAUGAAUGAAAUCUGUGGAGACACAAAUUUAAUGAUGACUUUAAUUUCCAGUUUCGGAUAAUAUGACUUAUGGCAAGUGAUGGAUCACUAUUUCCUUUAUCUUUAAAAAAAUAAUAAGAUGAAUAUAUUUAUGACAGUGCAAGAGUAGGAGCAACAUUUGAAGUUCUACUCACAGCACUAUUGAGAUCUACACAACUGCAUUUCAAUUCAGUGUCUGUAAUGGUGUGAUGGUCUUUGCAAUCACAAAAAUAUUUGGCUGAUCAAAUUAAAUGAAUGGGACUAAACAGAACAAACCCAGAGCGCUCUCUUCCCUUCAGAGUCUCAGCUUAGCCAUGAGAUAUAGAACAGACACUGUACAAUAUAAGAAAAUACUAAAUUUAUUAUCCUUCACAAUUUGUGAUGUGAAUCAGCAUGUUGUGUUGCUCUUUUGGGUGUGUUUUGUGUUAUACCAGUGGUUCUCAACCUUGCGGCUCGAAAGGAGUAACAGCACAAUGAAGUUGCGAAUGUAAGAUGCAGUCUGUAAGACGCGCACGGGAGCAUGACUUGAAACACGACAUUGCAGAAAAUGUGCGUUCACAAAUGUAGCCUAUGUUGAUCCAAAUAUGGAAAGCACUUUCGAAUUUAAUAAUAUGAGAUUCUCUCCAGAGAUGUUUUGCCACAUUUCUUCAAUUAAUGUUGAUUGCUGCAUAGUAUGGGUGUUUCCAUUUGCCUGAACUUCUUCAAGUGAGUUGUGGGGCAAACCGAAAAUCCAGCACUCUCCUUCACUACUGAUACUGCGACUAUUCUUGUUUGUAUGUGUUCAUUUGCUGACAUUUUCCACAUUUCUUUUUUUCCCUUAAAAAGUCAAGUCAAGUCAAGUCUGGUGGCUGUUGAUGACUAUUUGAAUUGAAUUCUGCCAAAGUGCGCGCUUGUAUGUAUUCGUUAAAUGCGUAACGUUAUGUGAGUAGGUCUGCUCAUGUCUGAAAAUAAUAUAUGAAAAACAAAAUAAUUUCACAUAAAAACAUUAUGCUAUAGCUUAUAUUUCUUUAGUACAUUUUUAAAUUAAUGUAAAAACUAAAAUUAAUUGUAAAACUGAAAGUUAUUAUUAUUAUUUUUAUUGUGUUCAGCAUGGUGGGCCGCAUUUGAAUUCAUGACGGGCCGCGGGUUGAGAACCACUGUGUUAUAGUCUAUGGUUAUACCAUAGUCUGUGUGGAGGCCUACGAUGUGGCCACACAUCAGUGAGCAGUAACGUGCAUAACAUGCACACACCUACACACACACCACGCAUAGGUAAGCAUUGAUUACCUAAAUAUUCUUUCAGUUGUUUGAUAGAUUUAUUUAAUGAAUUUUGUGUAGUUUUUUACACUAUAUUUAGUAAUAAGACAGACUCGGUUUAUUUUGUUCAUUCAGAAUAUUUUAUUAAAUAUCAGUACAUAUUAACUAGUUGGAGUGCACAAAAUUUAGUUUGAUUUGUUGUAUAUUUCUAUUAAUAUUGUUUUGUUUUUUGUUUUUAGUUUAAAGGGGUCAUAUGAUGCGAUUUAAAUUUUUCCCUUCUCUUUGGAGUGUUACAAGCUCUCGGUGCAUAAAGAAGAGCUGUAAUGUUGCAAAGACUAAAGUCUCAAAUCCAAAGAGAUAUUCUUUAUAAAAGUUAAGAGUCAACCACACCCCCCUAAAACGGCUCGUUCUAACACACCCCCACAUCUCUACGUCACUAUGUUGGAAGAUUUGCAUAACUCCGCACAAAUGUUCACGCAAAGAAAGAAGGCGUAACUUUUAUUCUCUCUGUUGCCAACGGCGCCAUGAUGUGGAGACGCUGUGUGUUUAGUUGAAGUGAAACUUUGUUUGGCCUUCCAAAAGAGGACAUGACUAGAAAUCAGUGGUUAAGUUGUUCCAGAACAGUUCAACCCAAAUAUUCAAAGGUGUGCUGCGCAUUUUACGAAGGAUGAGGACUGUUUCCUGAACCAGUAGCCUGCAAAGCAUCUGUGGCACAACGGCUGUUUCUAUAAAGUUGGGCAGUUUAAACUUUGCAAGGACAGUCUGCCGCUUCUGACUCACAACCUGUAGGUACGCUUUUUAUAUUUAAAUAAUUUGCCAACGAUGAUUCAAACGCGAGUUCUGAGCAGUAGAGUAGGCUUGUUGUUUGUUGUUUCUCAGAUCACAAAUGCGGACGGUUUUAUGUUUACGCAGUGCGAUAUGCAACACAAUGCGUAAAAAGACAGUAUAAGUCAUUAUAAUCACUAAUUAUGUCCCCACUGAAUGCAACAAAUGCCUCAUUUGUAAUUGGUUUUAUUUGUUCUGUCUCGUCUAGUGAUGUCUGGAUUGCGAACUAAUCUUUCUAUUUAACCGGUCCGGAUCUUCUUAGUGAACCGGUCGAACCAGUUAACCAAAUCGAACUGAAUCGUUUGAAACAGUUUGCAUCUCCAGUAUGCACUAAUUCACAAAUAACUUAAGUUAUUCGGUUUAUAAACAUGCCAUACACUCCCUCUGAUGCAAAAUAAACUAAUAUCCCGAGUUAUUCA
ensembl:lncRNA